AACAUUGAUAUCAAUCUAAUGACAUUCCAUAGGAAUAAAAAUCCAAUGGGAUCCAGUUCUUAGCAGUCCCAGCCUAUUCAGAAGUACAAAGUCAAAUACCAUUUGCACAUCACCAAGAGGUACAAUCUGAUGAGUAACAGGAUAUCUGAUCUAAAAGCUUGCCAGGUUUCACAGGCUGUUUGAGUAUCACCAGGGCAGAUCAAGAAGAAAUAUGAAGGCCAGGUUCAUAACAAGCAGUUGCUUCAUUGCAAUUACAGAUUUAAAAAUUUAAUGAAUUUAAAUAAAUGUGUCGAUACAUAUUGAAUGUUGCUUAAACUACACAUCUGUUGAACAAAAAAAGAUUAUUUGGAGUAUAGAUAUUUAGGUCCAUAGGUUUCACACAAGAUUAAAAUAUUUUUCGAAAGGGCACACUUAUCCCCCCCCUUUAUUAAUGUUCUAAUCAUCUACAUGUAGUACUUAUAGUAGUGAAAGCACUUUGAAUAAUAUUAGUAGUUUGAAAGGGAUAGGUUGUAUUCUGGUAAUCUAAACAAUGCAGAAUGGGCCUUUACCGAGGUCUGGGCUAUGUAACAUACAUGCCUACAGACAUAUAAAAGGUGAUAAGAAAUAAUGGAUUUUCAUUGAAAAAAUGUGCAUAAUAAAAACAAGGUGACAGAACAGAGGGCGAAGAAAUCACUCUCAGUCCUGGACCCCAAUUCAUUAAGACCAACCACUAUUCUAGCUUUGCCAUUCUGGUAAUUACCAUGGAAACAUUAAAGCAACAGAUCAACAUUGGGGUUCCCAUGCUAGUUGCUAGUUACAUUUGGGGCCAAUUUACCAUAAUUGAAGUCCUUAUGAAACAAGAACCUGUAUGUAUUGCUGGACAUUAAGCUGUUGAAUUCAUUUUCUGGGGAAGUGAAAAGUUGCACUAUUUUUUUUUAAUCUCUUUGUUUUUGUAACACUGUAUUGUCGAUGUCCCGUAUAAUGAACUAGAUUAGCUCUGCAAAUAAAAGAAUUUGUUGGAAA